rnacentral:rRNA from 1 species
CCUACGGGAGGCUGCAGUGGGGAAUAUUGGACAAUGGGGGGAACCCUGAUCCAGCGACGCCGCGUGAGUGAAGAAGUAUUUCGGUAUGUAAAGCUCUAUCAGCAGGGAAGAAAAUGACGGUACCUGACUAAGAAGCCCCGGCUAACUACGUGCCAGCAGCCGCGGUAAUACGUAGGGGGCAAGCGUUAUCCGGAUUUACUGGGUGUAAAGGGAGCGUAGACGGUGCAGCAAGUCUGAUGUGAAAGGUCGGGGCCCAACCCCGGGACUGCAUUGGAAACUGUUGAACUUGAGUACAGGAGAGGUAAGCGGAAUUCCUAGUGUAGCGGUGAAAUGCGUAGAUAUUAGGAGGAACAUCAGUGGCGAAAGCGGCUCUCUGGUCUGUAACUGACGCUGAGGUUCGAAAGCGUGGGUAGCAAACAGGAUUAGAUACCCGGGUAGUG